UGAUGAGACGUUGUCGUUUUGGAGCAUCGUCUCCUUCCAUCCCCUUGUCUGAAAACAAAACGGAACGGAGGACUUGAGGAGUGAGGAGUGAGGAGUGAGUGAGGACUGAUCUGAGCUUACGUGCUUGCUUAAGGUCAAGGAGAUCAUCAUUGAAGGAGGUAGAGAGAGCAUGUACAUCUAAUUCCAUAAAUGACACCAUUCUAUGAGCCAACGUCCAAGAAGCAGAAGAAGAAUAACACCUCCAGGACCUGAGACGAAGUGGAAUUGAUAAUGAUAUUGGUUGUUCCUGUUCUCGUAGUGUCACCACAAUGCUAUAAGCUGACAUCCUUUUUAGUGGUUAUGCUGGUUUGCCUUGAAGGUCUUAGACCAAGUCUUCUCAAAGGUACACUCUUCUUAUUGAUUGUUGAUGGUUUUUUUUGAUGGAUCUUUUUGAUCUUCUCUUGGGCUACAUCUUCAGAUCAUGAGGAACCAGGAUUACUGUGAGAGAGGUUCGAAGAGAAAGAAUAAACAUUGUGGGAUUAACAGUAAGGUCGCUGAUCUUCCUAGUGAUGUUGGCAUGUAUGUUUUAACUUUUAAGCCUAAGACCCUAUAUUUUAGUGGAGGAGGAUGUUUUGAUCGACUGGUGAUGGUUUUGAUGGAUCGUUUUGUCUUCUCUGCGCUACAUCUUCAGGCUUUUGAUGAUGCUUUUAUUGAUGAGAGUGAUGGCUUUGAUGGACACGCUUCUUCUCUGUGCUACUUCUUCAAAGGGUGUUUUGGAAGCCAGUUAUGAUAUGACCAUGGCGUAUUCUUCUCCAUGCUGCCACGUCUUCAGCCACGUUCUCACAGAUUCGUGGAGGCUUUGACUGAUCGUUGUCACUCUAAUUCAUGUUAUUCUUCUAGGAUUGUGGAGGAAAGAGGAUGCUUUGAUCGGUUGCUGAUGGUUUUGAUGGAUCGUUUUUGUCUUCAGAUCAUAAGGCACCAGGUGGGAGGUUCGAAGAGAAAAAAAAAACAUUGUGGGGAGUGCGUAUGAUCAGGUUUUGGAUGAUACUUUUAUCAAUGAGAGUGAUGGCGUUGAUGGACACGCUUCUUCUCUGUGCUAAGCCUUUUAAGUGUUUUCUUCUUCCUCUUCACACGUCUUUUGCUUCUUUUUUUUUGUUUUGUUUUGUUCCUGUUCUUUCUUCGUUUUGCAGUUCUUUUGGAAGCAAACCAUGAUCCAAUCAUCAGUAUUUUAAUCCAUGUUAUUGUCUUCAAGCGUCCUCAUGGGUUCCUUGCUCCAAUCAUCACUCUCUUACUCAUGUUGCUCUUCUAGAGUUUGGUUUCUAAAUUGAUUAUUCAAGGUUUUUUUCUUAUGUUCAUGCGACUCUUAACUCUACUUGGCUCUGUUAAUUUUAGAUUGUGGAGGAGGAUGCUUUGAUCGGUUGGUGACAGUUUUGAUGGCUUGUAUUUGUCCUCUCUGCGUCGCCCACGUGCUUAAAAAGGGUAAAGUUGGUUCUUCUCAUUGAGGGAGACACUGGUUCGGGUAAGACUAUACAAUUACCACAAUAUCUCCAUGGAGCUGCUUUGAAAGGAAAGAGCAAAGAGCAAGUUGAGGCGCUGUCAAAAAGAGUUGUCUCAUCGUGCGGCUGUGCCAGGAUGUACAAGGAUGGUAGCAUCAUUCCAUUAGAUGAUUAUUUGUGUGUUUGCCGCAAAUAUUUCAUACAUGCUGGGAUAUGGUAGUCCCAGAUGAAGAGCUCC